rnacentral:misc_RNA from 1 species
ACUAGAUUGUUGAAAAAACGAUCUAGAUAAUAAAUCAUGAAAAUACUCGCAGCCUACAUCUUGCAUUUGUUUCAUCUUAUUGGAUUGAUUUAUAAAACCCUCUGCCAUCCAUAACAAAACUAACUCAUCCUGAUUGAAUUCAUAAUCUUUUGGAAAAACAGCGCAAUAAGCAAAGCAAGGCUUUAAAUGGGAAGGAAGAUGAAGAUAACUCAACCUUAAAGCUGGAAGAAUGUUGCUUUUCUCAUUAGGUAAAUCCCAAAUUUCGUUGUUCAACACGUCCUCCCAUAUAUUACGAUUUGGGUUACCCCUCAACAAGCCUCCAAGAGCCUUGGCUGCUAAAGGCAAUCCUUGACAUCUUUUGACAAUUUGUUUACCUAUUUCUUCCAAUUCCAAGUGCUCAUCAAAAUUCGCGGCUCCCAAAGCAUGUUGGGCAAAUACAGAGAGGCAAUCUUCAAAGGACAACUGCUUAAGAGAAUAACCUCGAAUGGUGCCCGUAAAGGACGAGACACUUUCAUUUCGAGUUGUGAUAAUUAUUCUGCUUCCCGGUGCUCCUACUUCGAAAGGAACGUAAAAGAGAGUCCAGUGGUCAUAACUAUCUGUCCAAACAUCAUCAAGGACGAUCAAAAAUUUCUUCUGGGACAACUUGUCCUUCAAUUUCAUCUGAAGGGAAUUCAAAUCUUUAUCAUCACAACCCCCAGAUUGAAGAAUGGUUUUGGCCAUUCUAAGAACAUCAAAAUCUUCCCCAACACAAACCCAACUUUUGAAAUUAAACUCCAGUGAGGCAUCGUUGAAGAUGAGCUGAGCGAGAGUCGUCUUGCCGACGCCCCCCAUGCCAACUAUGGGAAUCACCGAGACAUUUCCACCACUUGCUUCUUUCUUCAACAAUUCAAUUAUUUCUUUCUUAUCCUUUUCCCUCCCAUAAAUCUUUGCUUCAUUGACCAAGGAUGUUGAAGGUAGUCUUGCUCUCACUCGACUGUUCCCCCCUCUAGUCCACUCUCCUAAAUGCAGAUCAUCCUUUUCUUUAAUGAUCUCAUCUAAUCUGGCACUGAUUCCGGCAAUCUUGGAGGCCAUCUCGGCGUUGAACUUAAAAGUAGUUAGAUUCAUACUAGCAGAAACAGUAGAGAUGAUUUUCCGUACCUUACUUGCACGGGCCAGUGGUUCCGCCUCCAGCUUGCGUCUCUGAGCCUCAGUUGCAAGUUCAUCAAGAACGUCCUCCGCAUCAUAAGCCAAGUCCCUGAGGUCGCUUACCCACAUCUUCACCAAUGGGUUCUCCCACUGCUUUUCCUCUGCAUCGUCAAGCACCAAAUAAAUUUUGUUCAACAUCCUCCUCCAUUUCUUGAGUUCAGCCUGGACAUUCCCUUCUUGGGCAUACUUCAACAAGUCCAUGGAAGUCAACCUGUCGAGUAGCCCCUGAAAGGAAGCAGAGAAAAUGGCACCUCCAAUCGCAAUCACCGUCUCCAUUAGAAAGAACAACCGCAGAAACUAAGAACACAAGUCUGAGAAGAGAUAUAUCGGAAACACAGAAUUCAAGUGAAAUUUUUGAAACGGCAAUGGAAAAAUUGGUUCAACCACCCAAUUCCAUUGACGUCUGUUUGAUAGUAUUUGUCGACUGAUUGACGAUUGACGGAGGACACAAAUAUUAAUGAAAUGGAAGGUGCCAAGC